UCUUCCUUGGUCUAGUGGUCAUGAUUUCCGCUUGUCAAGCCUAGCUAACAAGCGCGGGAGACCGGGGUUCGAUUCCCCGAGGGAGAG
rnacentral:tRNA from 1 species